rnacentral:rRNA from 1 species
ACUUUCAGCGGGAAGGAAGGGAGUAAAGUUAAUAACGUUGCUCAUUGACGUUACCCGCAGAAGAAGCACCGGCUAACUCCGUGCCAGCAGCCGCGGUAAUACGGAGGGGUGCAAGCGUUAAUCGGAAUUACUGGGCGUAAAGCGCACGCAGGCGGUUUGUUAAAGUCAGAUGUGAAAUCCCCGGGCUCAACCUGGGAACUGCAUCUGAUACUGGCAAGCUUGAGUCUCGUAGAGGGGGGGUAGAAUUCCAGGUGUAGCGGUGAAAUGCGUAGAGAUCUGGAGGAAUACCGGUGGCGAAGGCGGCCCCCCUGGACGAAGACUGACGCUCAGGUGCGAAAGCGUGGGGAGCAAACAGGAUUAGAUACCCUGGUAGUCCACGCCGUAAACGAUGUCGACUUGGAGGUUGUGCCCUUGAGGCGUGGCUUCCGGAGCUAACGCGUUAAGUCGACCGCCUGGGGAGUACGGCCGCAAGGUUAAAACUCAAAUGAAUUGACGGGGGCCCGCACAAGCGGUGGAGCAUGUGGUUUAAUUCGAUGCAACGCGAAGAACCCUUACCUGGUCUUGACAUCCACGGAAAGUUUUCAGAGAUGAGAAUGUGCCUUCCGGAACCGUGAGAACAGGUGCUGCAUGGGCUGUCGUCAGCUCGUGUUGUGAAAUGUUGGGUUAAGUCCCGCAACGAGGCGCAACCCAUAUCAUUUGUUGCCAGCGGUCCGGCCGGAAACUCAAAGGAGACUGCCAGUGAUAAACUGGAGGAAGGUGGGGAUGACGUCAAGUCAUCAUAACCCUUACGACCAGGGCUACACACGUGCUACAAUGGCGCAUAC